GCAUGGACGAAUUCUGCAUUGGCUUUUAUAAUAGCUAAUGGAGUCAGACACCAUGCGAGAGCAAUGUUUCUGUCUCGGGCAUUGUUGGUGGCAUGCUGUGCCUCGGGCAGCAUGCCUGCGUCAGAAGCAGAUACACAG